AGUCUGCAACUCGACUGCAUGAAGCCGGAAUCGCUAGUAAUCGCGGAUCAGAAUGCCGCGGUGAAUACGUUCCCGGGUCUUGUACACACCGCCCGUCACACCAUGGGAGUCGGAAUGCCCGAAGCCGGUGGCCUAACCGAUAAGGGAGGAGCCGUCGAAGGCAGGUCUGAUGACUGGGGUGAAGUCGUAACAAGGUAGC
rnacentral:rRNA from 1 species